UACGAAGGGGGCUAGCGUUGUUCGGAAUUACUGGGCGUAAAGCGCACGUAGGCGGGUUUGUAAGUAGGGGGUGAAAUCCCAGGGCUCAACCCUGGAACUGCCUUCUAAACUGCAAGCCUGGAGGUCAGGAGAGGCGAGUGGAAUACCGAGUGUAGAGGUGAAAUUCGUAGAUAUUCGCAAGAACACCAGUGGCGAAGGCGGCUCACUGGCCCGAGUACUGACGCUGAGGCACGAAAGCGUGGGGAGCAAACAGGGA
rnacentral:rRNA from 1 species